UGGGUGGUAUAUUUCAUCUAAAGCUAAAUAUUGGCCAGAGACCGAUAGCGCACAAGUAGAGUGAUCGAAAGAUGAAAAGCACUUUGGAAAGAGAGUUAAACAGUACGUGAAAUUGUUGAAAGGGAAGCGCUUGCAACCAGACUUGCAUGCCGUCGAUCAUCCUGGGUUCUCCCUGGUGCACUCGGCGGCGUUCAGGCCAGCAUCGGUUUCGGUGGUUGGAUAAAGGCCUUGGGAAUGUAGCUCCUCUCGGGGAGUGUUAUAGCCCUCGGUGCAAUGCAGCCUACUGGGACCGAGGACCGCGCUUCGGCUAGGAUGCUGGCGUAAUGGUUGUAAGCGACCCGUCUUGAAACACGGACC
rnacentral:rRNA from 1 species